AAGGAAUUUGUACUUCCUGUAACUAUAACUUUAAGCUCUGCUGGAGGGGGUCCUGGUAUCCAGGGGGAAUUCCAAUAAAUAGAUGACAUAGUAAAAGUUCCACAAAACCUAAUUGUUGGACUGCUGCCUAAUUAUCUGACGCUUCUCCUGCCAAAAGACCAGCAAGCAAAACAAACAAAGUUACUAUAUUAGCAAGAAUAAUAGAACUUGAUUAUCAUCAAGAGCUAGGAAUGCUACUACCUGAUGGGGUUAAGAAGAAUUAUGUCUAAACUUUAAGAUAGUCCUUGGGGAAUCUCCUGGUGUUACUGUCAUGCGCGUCCAUGUGAAGAGAGUCCACCAAACAGGCUUUGUGUGAGCAACAAGGCUGUUUAUUUCACCUGGGCGCAGCAUUCACCAGGGCUUAGAAGACCCUGUGGCACCUGAAAGUGAAUGUGCAAUUGGAUUGGAGUUAUGCUGCAACAAUUAGCUGCUCAAUUGUGUGUUUAUUACAUAUACCAAGAUCACUUAAAUAACACUACAGGUCUUCCUCAAUGGUGAUUUUUAUUCUGAUGGAGAAGACAUGCCUGAAGUGUAUUGAGCAGAAGAGUGACAAGAUCUGACUAACCUGCUGCAGAACUAAACACCAAAAAAGCUUGAGUUUCUACUAAAUCGCUCUUGUGUUUCACUAGAGGUGGUUUCAGUUCAGCAACAAGGUGACCUCACAGCAGGAUAUUGAACCACUGCUGCUGUUUUAUGAACUUCUCAAGAGAUGAGAAUUCUGAAAGAAGGCCUUGAUUUUCUCAUAUUUUAUAAUAAUAUUCACUAAUUCAAUCAUUCAUCUGUUUUAUUCUUCAAUAAUAAUAAAUACGGUUUAAUUCAAAGAUAAAUUUAAAGAAGAGAAGAAAAAUGUUGGUUCCUGAAAUGCAGACAUUUAGGCAAUCUUCAAAACAUUUGCUUGAAUAAACAUUCAGACUUUAAUUUAGUGGCUUUGUUGCUGCCCAGUCUUUUGAAAGAUAUUUGAAAAUUCAGGAUACAUGUUUACAGAAGAGACAAACUUGACUUCAUUAUCU